GGGAGAAGGUCGGAUCCUGGGCUGUGUCCCCUGAGCCCUGUGCUCCCAAGCCUGCGCUGUUGGAUUCGUGCUCCCUGCUGCGCAGCCUCCU
rnacentral:pre_miRNA from 1 species